GCCUGACUGGCUCAGUCAGUAGAGCAUGUGACUCUGGAUCUUGUGGUUGUGAGUUUGAGGCCCAUGUUGGGUA
rnacentral:tRNA from 1 species